rnacentral:rRNA from 1 species
GGGUUGUGAGGUUAAGCGACUAAGCGUACACGGUGGAUGCCCUGGCAGUCAGAGGCGAUGAAGGACGUGCUAAUCUGCGAAAAGCGUCGGUAAGGUGAUAUGAACCGUUAUAGCCGGCGAUGUCCGAAUGGGGAA